GAUGAACGCUGGCGGCGUGCUUAACACAUGCAAGUCGAACGAAGCAUUUAAGACAGAUUACUUCGGUUUGAAGUCUUUUAUGACUGAGUGGCGGACGGUUGAGUAACGCGUGGGUAACCUGCCUCAUACAGGGGGAUAGCAGCUGGACACGGCUGGUAAUACCGCAUAAGCGCACAGUACCACAUGGUACAGUGUGAAAAACUCCGGUGGUAUGAGAUGGACCCGCGUCUGAUUAGCUUGUUGGCGGGGUAACGGCCCACCAAGGCGACGAUCAGUAGCCGACCUGAGAGGGUGACCGGCCACAGUGGGACUGAGACACGGCCCAGACUCCUACGGGAGGCAGCAGUGGGGAAUAUUGCACAAUGGAGGAAACUCUGAUGCAGCGACGCCGCGUGAGUGAAGAAGUAGUUCGCUAUGUAAAGCUCUAUCAGCAGGGAAGAUAGUGACGGUACCUGACUAAGAAGCUCCGGCUAAAUACGUG
rnacentral:rRNA from 1 species